rnacentral:rRNA from 1 species
GAGUUUGACCCUGGCUCAUGUCGAACGCUGGCGGCGUGCUUAGCACAUGCAAGUCGAACGGUAAGGCCCCAGCUUGCUGGCGUAACGAGUUGCGAACGGGUGAGGAACAGGUGGGUGACCUGCCCCGCACUUCGGGAUAAGCCUGGGAAACUGGGUCUAAUACCGGAUAGGACCGCACCGUGAGGGUGUGGUGGAAAGUUUUUCGGUGUGGGAUGGGCCCGUGGCCUAUCAGCUUGUUGGUGGGGUAAUGGCCUACCAAGGCGGCGACGGGUAGCCGGCCUGAGAGGGUGGACGGCCACAUUGGGACUGAGACACUGUUCAGACUCCUACGGGAGGCAGCAGUGGGGAAUAUUGCACAAUGGGCGGAAGCCUGAUGCAGCGACGCCGCGUGGGGGAUGACGGCCUUCGGGUUGUAAACUCCUUUCACCAUCGACGAAGGUUUUCUGACGGUAGAUGGAGAAGAAGCACCGGCUAACUACGUGCCAGCAGCCGCGGUAAUACGUAGGGUGCGAGCGUUGUCCGGAAUUACUGGGCGUAAAGAGCUCGUAGGUGGUCUGUCGCGUCGUCUGUGAAAUUCCGGGGCAUUACUCCGGGCGUGCAGGCGAUACGGGCAUAACUUGAGUACUGUAGGGGAGACUGGGAUUCCCUGGUGUAGCGGUGAAAUGCGCAGAUAUCAGGAGGAACACCGGUGGCGAAGGCGGGUCUCUGGGCAGUAACUGACGCUGAGGAGCGAAAGCAUGGGUAGCGAACAGGAUUAGAUACCCUGGUAGUCCAUGCCGUAAACGGUGGGCGCUAGGUGUAGGGGUCUUCCACGACUUCUGUGCCGUAGCUAACGCAUUAAGCGCCCCGCCUGGGGAGUACGGCCGCAAGGCUAAAACUCAAAGGAAUUGACGGGGGCCCGCACAAGCGGCGGAGCAUGUGGAUUAAUUCGAUGCAACGCGAAGAACCUUACCUGGGCUUGACAUAUACGGGACCGGGCCAGAGAUGGUCCUUCCCUUGUGGCUCGUAUACAGGUGGUGCAUGGUUGUCGUCAGCUCGUGUCGUGAGAUGUUGGGUUAAGUCCCGCAACGAGCGCAACCCUUGUCUUAUGUUGCCAGCACGUAAUGGUGGGGACUCGUGAGAAACUGCCGGGGUCAACUCGGAGGAAGGUGGGGAUGACGUCAAAUCAUCAUGCCCCUUAUGUCCAGGGCUUCACACAUGCUACAAUGGUCGGUACAGUGGGUUGCGAUGCCGUGAGGUGGAGCUAAUCCCUGAAAGCCGGUCUCAGUUCGGAUCGGGGUCUGCAACUCGACCCCGUGAAGUCGGAGUCGCUAGUAAUCGCAGAUCAGCAACGCUGCGGUGAAUACGUUCCGCGGGCCUUGUACACACCGCCCGUC